GUUUGCUUCUGGCUGUGACUCGGAGCCCUCAGCCUGCGGGAGAAGUAGCCCCCCAUCACCAUGGCGCUCCCUGGUGGUUUACUAACCCGCGGUGAGGAACCAGUACCACUGAAGAGCAUCAGUGUAACCUUGUCCAUUCGUGAGUUUGUGGCUGGUGUGUCUGCCACCUUAAACUAUGAGAAUGAGGAGGAAGUUCCUUUGGAGACCUUUUUUGUGUUCCCCAUGGAUGAAGACUCAGCUGUCUACAGCUUUGAAGCCGAGAUCGAUGGGAAGAAAAUUAAAGCAGAAUUAAAGGAUAAGAGGAAGGCCCACAGCAUCUAUGAGAGUGCCUUAAGCAACCGCCGCCAAGCUUUCCUCCUGGAGGAGGACAGGUACUCCAGGGACGUCUUCUGUUGCAAUGUGGGCAACCUGCACCCUGGGUCAAAGGUGGCACUCACUCUGAAGUAUGUGCAGGAGCUACCCCUGGAAGCAGAUGGGACCCUGCGCUAUGUGCUCCCAGCUGUCUUGAAUCCUCGAUACUGUCGCCCUGGAUCAUCUGAGGACAGUUGCCUAAAUAUGAAGACUCCUGUAGUCCCUUUGGAGGAACUGCCCUAUACAUUCAACAUGAUUGCCACCAUCAGUUCCCAGCAUGGCAUUGAGAGGAUCCAAUCCAACUGCCCCUUCAGUCCUAUGGAGUACCUUGGAGAUGAUAAGACCUCUGCCCAGGUUUCCUUGACUGAAGGACACAAAUUUGAUCGAGAUGUGGAACUCCUGAUUUACUACAGUGAGAAGCAUACCCCCAGCGUAGCCGUAGAGAUGGGGCAGGCUAAAGACAACCCAGGAGAUGGUUUGAUGAAGGAUCCAUCUGCGAUGGUGUGUUUCUAUCCAAACAUCCCAGAAGUUGAGUCACCAGUUAUCUGUGGAGAAUUUGUCUUCCUCAUGGACCGCUCAGGAAGUAUGCAUUGCCCCAUAAGUAAACAGGAUAAAUCUCAGCUGCGCAUAGAGGCAGCCAAGGAAACACUGAUUUUGCUGCUGAAGAGUUUGCCUAUAGGCUGUUAUUUCAAUGUCUAUGGAUUUGGAACUUCCUAUGAGGCAUUCUUUCCGAAUAGUGUGAAAUACACUCAGCAGACCAUGGAGGAAGCACUGAGGAGAGUUCAGCUUAUGCGGGCUGACCUGGGGGGCACAGAAAUCUUGACACCACUCCAGAUCAUCUACGGGGAACCUUCCAUCCCGGGCCACCCCCUACAGCUUUUUAUCUUCACAGAUGGAGAAGUUACUGACACAUUUAGCGUAAUUAAUGAAGUCAGGAGGAACAGGACGAAACACAGAUGUUUCUCCUUUGGUAUUGGAGAAGGAGCCUCUACCAGCCUAAUAAAAGGCAUUGCCCGUGUAGCAGGCGGCACUUCAGAAUUUAUCACCGGCAAGGCCAGGAUGCAGUCCAAGGCUCUUAGUGCCUUAAAACGUGCUCUACAGCCUGCAGUAGAAGAUAUAUCUGUGAGCUGGGAUUUGCCUCGUGGCCUGUCUGCUAAAAUGCUUUCACCAGAACAGACUGUCCUCUAUAGGGGUCAGAGGUUAAUCAUCUAUGCCCUUUUGAGUGGGACCAUGCCGCCAGCAGAUGCGACAGGAGAAGUCUGCCUCAAAUACAUGCUCCAGGGCAAGAGUUUCGAGAAUAGGGUGACAUUUUUUCUGCAACCCAAGCCCGAUGACAACUUCACCAUUCACCGCCUUGCUGCUAAGUCCUUUCUCCAGACCAAGGAUAUGGGCUUCAGGGACACUCCAGCAAAAGAUAAAAAAGAUGUGCUGAAGGUCAGCAUUGACUGUGGAGUCAUAAGCUCCCAGACAGCUUUCAUUGCCGUCAACAAAAGUCUCAACAAGCCAGUUCAGGGACCCCUGGCUCGUAGGGAUGUUCCAAGGCCAAUUCUGUUGGGUGCUGCUUCAAUGAUACCACGAUUCCAUAGAGGUGGUGAGUUUUACCCCAUUCAAACUCAUGUAAAAUAAAGGGCCCUGGAUAUCUAAACACAUCAUUUGAAGUAAAAGCAUGUGACAGUGAUUUUUUUCCCUUGUCUCUCCAUACUUAGGAUUUCUGGCUGGUUUGGUGCCUUUCUGGGGAACCAAGGAGAUUCUAAAUAAUCCAAGGGGGAAAAAGAAACAAGGAAAAUUAAAACAGAAAGUGUAAAUAAAUAUUGAGUAUUCAAACUGUCUCAAUAUGAAGCUGAUUUAUCCUAUGGAUAAUUAGAUGAUUAAUGAUGAUACAGGUGGCUGAUGGUAAUGGUCUGGGAGUGUUAGGGAAUGGGUGUCCCAAGUGAAACCCAAGCAGCCUUGAGAAUAGAUAUAAGGGGCUUAGUUAGAAUAAGGUAGAGAAAUUUCCUGGGCAGUAUUCUGUGGCUGGAGGGGAAUGUUUAAUGUUUGUUGUAGAGACAGGCUUCAAGGUGAGCCCAGAUUUUUGUUUGGACAACUGCAUGUAUAAUGGUUCCAUUUAUUUAAAUAGAGUAAGAGAAGAACAAGGUCAAGUUUAGAAGGUAGCAUGUUGAAUUAUUUUUGAGUAUUUUGAACUUGAGAUCCUUAUGGAAUAUCUAUAUGAAGAUGUCCAGUAAGAAAACAAAUAGAUGGGUUUGGUGCUCAGAGGAGGAGAGUUGAGGGAUAAAGAUACACAUUUGGGAAUACUUAACAUCUAGGUUGUAACUAAAGAUGCUGUCCCAGUAUUGCCAGGAAGAGGAGGAAAGGUGGUAGUUUGAUUCUAGUUUACUGGCUGAGGAGCAAGAGCUUGGAGUUUCUGUCUGAUGAGUUUUCAAUAGUUUUAGUGAAACAGCAAAUAUAACUAAUGAGUAUGAAACAAGACGUUGUAGAAUAGAGUUUGAGGAAAGGAUUUGAAAGAUGGAUGAUUGGAGGGUGAAAUUCCAAGGGAGAAAUAAAGCAUUUGCCAAGAAGUGUUGAGCAUGUGGUUUAAUUCUGAUACCUUGACUUUUUUAGUGGCACUAAACUAAGGGAAGCCGAGCCCAUGUGGUUCACUACAGCAGGACUCAGCAGCUUUGGUGUAAGAACAAAGAGGGCACAGUGUUGGCUCUUUUUUGAGGUUGGGAUUUUGCCUGGUGUGUGAUGAAAAGGAAAUCAGGUACUUGGAAUUGGAGAGACUGGAUAGAGAAUGGUGAAGUGUUGGACUCAGGAUUGAAGCUAAAUAGAAAAUAUACUAAAUAUGGAAGGAAGUGGAUUGUAGGGAAAAAGCAGAGGAGACACAGAUUUAGAGGUCCAGAUGAAGUCAAAGACCAGGUAAAAGAACUUUGAGUCAGAAGGCUGCAAAAAUUGGAUAUUAUAUGUAAAAAGUAGGAUUGCUUUUUUUCCCCCCAGUUUGUUUUUUACAGGUGGAACAAUUCUGCUGGAUAACAAGAUUCUGGCUUGGGAGGGAGUGGCUGAAGUAGAAUGAAGGCUGAAACCAUUUGAUUUGAGGAAGUCAAGAAGCUUUGAAUGAGAGUGCUGGAUAGGUUACCUAAAAGGCUCAUUCAAAGCCCUCAUCCUCCUACUCUCCUCCUGCAUCUCAGCCCACACGGACCAAUCAUUACCCAAG